rnacentral:tRNA from 1 species
UCCCUGGUGGUACAGUGGUUAGGACUACACGCUUUUACUGCCACGGGCCCAGGUUUGAUCCCUGGUCAGGGAA